CAGUAACGGCGAGUGAAGCGGCAAAAGCUCAAAUUUGAAACCCUCGGGAUUGUAAUUUGAAGAUUUGGCAUUGGAGAAAGCUAACCCAAGUUGCUUGGAAUAGUACGUCAUAGAGGGUGACAACCCCGUCUGGCUAACCGUUCUCCAUGUAUUGCCUUAUCAAAGAGUCGAGUUGUUUGGGAAUGCAGCUCAAAGUGGGUGGUAAACUCCAUCUAAAGCUAAAUACUGGUGAGAGACCGAUAGCGAACAAGUACUGUGAAGGAAAGGUGAAAAGAACUUUGAAAAGAGAGUGAAAUAGUAUGUGAAAUUGUUGAUAGGGAAGGAAAUGAGUGGAGAGUGGCCGAGGUUUCAGCCGCCCCUCGUGGGCGGUGUACUGCCGACGCCGAGUCAUCGAUAGCGAGACGAGGGUUACAAAUGGGAGCGCCUUCGGGCGUUCUCCCCUAACCCUCCACACUGCCACCGACGACAUAAUCCACCCAUUUCACCCGUCUUGA
rnacentral:rRNA from 1 species